rnacentral:lncRNA from 1 species
AGACUCCGAGGGGAGAAAUAGGAAUUACAUAUAUCGGUUACUGGAUAGAAUACUGAAAAGAGAAUAUUCGUCAUUGGUUAAGAUGAACAUAUCAAGGAUAGACUCCGCAAAAGGGGAAGCAGGAUUUACAACUAUCGGUUACUAGGAAGAAGACCGCAAAGAAGAGGAAAUCUGUCACCGGUUAGGAUAAAUAUAUCAAGGAUUAACCUUCUAGGGAGCAAGACAGGGAUUACAACUACCUUUUUA